UACGUAGGGUGCGAGCGUUAAUCGGAAUUACUGGGCGUAAAGCGUGCGCAGGCGGUGAUGUAAGACAGAUGUGAAAUCCCCGGGCUCAACCUGGGAACUGCAUUUGUGACUGCAUCGCUGGAGUGCGGCAGAGGGGGAUGGAAUUCCGCGUGUAGCAGUGAAAUGCGUAGAUAUGCGGAGGAACACCGAUGGCGAAGGCAAUCCCCUGGACCUGUGACUGACGCUCAUGCACGAAAGCGUGGGGAGCAAACAGG
rnacentral:rRNA from 1 species